AGCUUGACCAAAGCAUGCUAAGGACAGUAUUCUAGCACUGUACAUUUAGCUCUGGGUUUUAAGCUCUGGCUUGUUUUAGUUGUGAAAUAGGUUUUUCCCUCGUGUGAGCACAGCUAGUGGAAGGCAAUGCCUGCCCAGGGCAAGGAGCUGUGUGGUGUAAUGCACCGAUCCCUUUUUGGGUCUCUCCUGGGGUGAGAAUUACCGCUCUCUCCCAGACUUGAGCAUCCAGCUAGAGUGAAAAGGCUCCAGUAUUCCUUCUGUGCCCACCAGCAUGCGGACAAGAUCAUCCAUCAUCUGCGAGAUCUCUGCUUUCCUUUUCCUCCUCGGAUCCCUGCAGCGAUGCCAUACUGGGGAGCCUUGAGUGGAAAGAGGAGAGACCCAAGCAAGCCCUGGUUGCCAGCAUAGGCUGCCCACUUCUGGGCAAAUCCUCAGAGAAAAGACCCCUGUAGAAAUAUCACCAGUGGAAGCAGUGUUUGCUCGUUACUUUGUGGGAGACUGU